rnacentral:rRNA from 1 species
AUUGAACGCUGGCGGCAUGCCUUACACAUGCAAGUCGAACGGCAGCACGGGAGCAAUCCUGGUGGCGAGUGGCGAACGGGUGAGUAAUAUAUCGGAACGUGCCCAGUCGUGGGGGAUAACGUAGCGAAAGCUACGCUAAUACCGCAUACGAUCUAUGGAUGAAAGCGGGGGAUCGCAAGACCUCGCGCGAUUGGAGCGGCCGAUAUCAGAUUAGGUAGUUGGUGAGGUAAAGGCUCACCAAGCCGACGAUCUGUAGCUGGUCUGAGAGGACGACCAGCCACACUGGGACUGAGACACGGCCCAGACUCCUACGGGAGGCAGCAGUGGGGGAAUUUUUGGACAAUGGGCGCAAGCCUGAUCCAGCAAUGCCGCGUGCAGGAUGAAGGCCUCGGUUGUAACGUAG